ACUCAGGAAACUUUUAAUCGGUUUGGAUCUCUGAUUGGACUAAUAGCACCAUACAGCUGUGAUUCACUGGCCACGUCCCGUCAGUGGGUGGUUGACUGUAUCAGCUGCCUUCUCUGUUUACAAGGCCAGUCCAUGAACCUGGGCUCAGCGGCGGAGGAGCUGAGAUGUCUUCGUGAAGCACUAACAGCUCCAGACCCUGAGGCUCUGUUUCAGGCAUCUUCCAAAAUGGCCAGGGUUGUGAGUGAGUACUUUCCCUCAGAACAGGCCACAGACUUUAUUAAGGCCACAUUGGGUGGAAUGCUGUCUGCCAGCCCCACCUGUGCCACGGCAGCUGGACUGUGGAUGAAGAUCAUCCUGAAGGAGUGUGGAGAUGCCAUGCUGGACCAGGUAAAACGGGAAACUGGAGAGGUUUUCUGCCUAAACUCUAG